UGACACACACACACGAACUCAGAGAUGGUAGCGACAUUCACAGGGCCUGCACAGGUCCAAGCCAGAUUGAGUCUCAGCCCUGAGAGGGGGAAGUAGACAGGAUUUCCAUUCCUAACCAAGAAGCUAUCUGCAACUGACCUCUGUCUACUUACAAAGGAAUCUGACUGGGCCGACUCUAACAUCAUGAACUACCACUUAUCCCGAAGGCCCUGCCUCUCCCACCUGCCUGCUCAUCAGAGCCAUCGUCCUCGACUUCUCUCAGCUGACCCCUGUUCUCUCUGAUUUCAUCAAGCAUUCUGCUUUGACAAUCUCCAGCUGAGCUUCAUAAGCUGAAAAUAAAAAUGUAUUUCUUUCAA